rnacentral:rRNA from 1 species
AUUGAACGCUGGCGGCAGGCCUAACACAUGCAAGUCGAGCGGAGCGGCGGACGGGUGAGUAAUGCCUAGGAAUCUGCCUGGUCGUGGGGGAUAACGUCAGGAAACGGGCGCUAAUACCGCAUACUAUCAGAUGAGCCUAGGUCGGAUUCGCUAGUUGGUGGGGUAAAGGCCUACCAAGGCGACGAACCGUAACUGGUCUGAGAGGAUGAUCAGUCACACUUGAACGGAUACACGGUCCAUACUCCUACGGGAGGCAGCAGUGGGGAAUAUUGGACAAUGGGCGGGAGCCUGGUCCAGCCAGGCCGCGUGUGUGAAGAAGGUCUUCGGAUUGGAAUGCACUGGUAGUUGGGAGGCGUUACCAACAGAAUAAGCACCGGCUAACUUCGUGCCAGCCGCCGCGGUAAUAC